UUUCAGAUAAAGGAAGAAAGAUGUUUUAGAGAAAGAUGAUCGCCAAAACAGUAUAGAGCCUUUAGAGGUGAUAGAGAUAAUUGGGGAUUGAUGUGCAUUCCAGCUAGAAAACUGCUUGCACAUUAAAAAAAUGUUUUACCAUUCAACAUUUUUAUUACUUGUGGCUUUAGAUGUUUACAACAAGUAAAUGAAUACCAGCAGGUUUUUUGAAAGCUGCCAAAGGAACAGUCAGAAUGGAUUUCUUAUCAAUGAGCAGUCAAAAUGUACAACUUUAGUAAACUCUCUGCAGUAUGUUCCUUUUGAUCCAGUUGCACUGAUAAAUAACCUUGAUGUUGAAACCAUCAGACUGGGCUAAGGAUCACAUCUUUUUUUGUUUCCACCCACUUGCUACCCAUGACUGAAAUGUUUGUUCUAGCUGCUACAAAAGACCUACAUGUUCCUC